GCCGUGUUUCGAGUUCCUCCGGAACACCCGGGAUUUUUCGUAUUUAGCCACGCCGGUCACGUGAUAUGAGCAAAAUGUUCCACAGGGGUACUUCCGGUUAAUUUUGUUUACACUGGUAACAAAAUUGUUUUUGACAAAAUAUAGAUUUUGCGGCACAAACUGUCGCAAAUCAGAUAAAGGAUAUCAAGGGAUAUAUAUUUACUUGGGAAUAUGUCAAAGUUUACCUUUUCCCAAACCCGGGAAAAGCGUUCACGCAGAGGAAACGAUGGCGUCAUUUGUGUAGAAAACCACGAGCAGCCGAAAUUGAGUGCGAUUAUUACAUUCCGUGAAAGCUGAACCAACAAAGAAACAUCAUUGUUCUAGCCAGUUUCCUUAUAUUAACUUUUAGGAAAACCAAGAGGUUGAUAACAAUGGCUGAUCUGCAUAUAAUGACUGCUAGUUAUUGGCUGGUAUGCAGUGAAAGGGAGCUAAAAAGGAGUAAAAAGUUCAUAUCAGCCAGGUGAGAAUUAAUUUCUUCUUUUUUGUGUGUUAUACAUAUGUAAUUCUUUUCUUUUGCUGCUUCAAAUCUUGUGUAUUUGAAAAUUUUCAGUCUAAUAUUUUGGCAAUGUUAUAGGUAGUGUGGCUUAAAUAAACCAGUGUUAAGGAAUAUCCAGUAAUGGCAUGAUAUCAUGAGAGUUUGGCAUACCGACAUUCAGAUGAUUAAUGAUGAAACUGAAGACCUCAAGUGAAAGGCAUGGAAAAUGAUCCUGUUCCCAUAUACCUGAAAAAGAGGAGGGAUGCCACAAUAUUGAUAAUAGACUUUUGUCAAUUUGAGAAGCAAAGAUGUAAAAAAAUAAAAUAAAAAUAAUAAUAAUGCUGAAAUUAUAAUUCAUGUAUUUGUUAAAAAUACUGUUCACUGUACAUACAUGUAUAUUUUUUUUUAACUUAUUUGGAAAUACAUGAAGUAAUUCAUAUUAAAACUGUGAAUGUA